rnacentral:rRNA from 1 species
CAAUAGCGUAUAUUAAAGUUGUUGCAGUUAAAAAGCUCGUAGUUGGAUUUCUGGUGGGAGCGAUCGGUCUGGCGCUUAGCGCGAGUACUUGCAUCGUCUCCGGCCAUCCUUGGGGGAAGUCUGUCUGGCAUUAAGUUGUCGGGCAGAGGAUCCUCAUCGUUUACUGUGAAAAAAUUAGAGUGUUCAAAGCAGGCUUAUGCCGUUGAAUAUAUUAGCAUGGAAUAAUAAGAUAGGACUUUGGUACUAUUUUGUUGGUUUGCGCACCAAAGUAAUGAUUAAUAGGGACAGUUGGGGGUAUUCGUAUUCCGUUGUCAGAGGUGAGAUUCUUGGAUUUACGGAAGACGAACUACUGCGAAAGCAUUUACCAAGGAUGUUUUCAUUAA